CGAAAUGUAGCUUAACUAAAGCACCUCGCUUACACCGAGAAGAUGUUUACUAAACCAAACCAUCUCGA
rnacentral:tRNA from 1 species